GCACAAGCGGUGGAUGAUGUGGAUUAAUUCGAUGCAACGCGAAAACCUUACCUACCCUUGACAUGUCCGGAAUCCCGAAGAGAUUUGGGAGUGCUCGCAAGAGAACCGGAACACAGGUGCUGCAUGGCUGUCGUCAGCUCGUGUCGUGAGAUGUUGGGUUAAGUCCCGCAACGAGCGCAACCCUUGUCAUUAGUUGCCAUCAUUUGGUUGGGCACUCUAAUGAGACUGCCGGUGACAAACCGGAGGAAGGUGGGGAUGACGUCAAGUCCUCAUGGCCCUUAUGGGUAGGGCUUCACACGUCAUACAAUGGUCGGUACAGAGGGUUGCCAACCCGCGAGGGGGAGCUAAUCCCACAAAGCCGAUCGUAGUCCGGAUUGUUCUCUGCAACUCGAGAGCAUGAAGUCGGAAUCGCUAGUAAUCGCAGGUCAGCAUACUGCGGUGAAUACGUUCCCGGGUCUU
rnacentral:rRNA from 1 species